ACCAUGCCCCACUAAGACCUUCCUUUUAGAACAAGAAGCAAUAAUUAGAAAGUGGACAGAUCUUUGGCGAUUGUGCAAACGAGUUGUUUUGGGUGAGAAAAAAAAAUGCUCAGUCCUGCCUGCCAAGAACCACUUCGGAUGACAAUCAUCUCUAUGCUCUCCAUCAAACAGAGGCUCUGGGUGCCUAUGGCAGGAGACAGAAGAGCCAGAAGUGUGACAUUAACAAUAAAAUGUGACUAACGAUAACAAGACAAAAGAAAAAAACUAUGCCUAGAUAUUUGCCUGUGAGCGAAGGUUCUUGAAGAGGCCAGAAGAGGGUGUCAGAUGACCUGGAGCUUGAUCUAUGGGCCAUUGUCAAUAGGUGCUGGGAACGGAGAGAAGAUCUUCUGCAAGAGCUGCUGAACCAUCUCUCCAAACCAUUAUUAUCAUUAUUAUUAUUAUUAUUAUUAUUAUCAUUAUCAUUAUUUCCAUUGUUUGAGACAAGGUUUCUCUGUGUCUCUCUGGCUGUCCUGGAACUUGCUUUAUACAUCAGGAUGACCUCAAACUCAGAGAUCCACCUGCCUCAGCCUACCAAGUGCUGGGAUUACCCAUUUUUUAUAAGAUGUUCCUAGUACUAUUAAAAAAUAAAAUAUCUCCAGGUGGUGAUAGCAAAUUCCUUUAGUCUCAGACUUGGAAGGCAGAGACAGAUGGAUCUCUGAGUUUAAGGCCAGCCUUUUCUACAGAAGCAAGUUCAAGGACAGUCAAGUUUGCACAGAGAAACUCUGUCUUGAAAAAAAAAAAGGAAAGAAAGAAAAGAAAAAAAAGACGGCAUGUCUUUUCUGUCUGACAUCAAAUGAGGGGCAGUGACCUUCCCACAGCUCUCCUGCAACUGGCUCCUAAU